AGUAAAUAGAUACCCUGGUAGUCCACGCCGUAAACGAUGUCGACUUGGAGGUUGUGCCCUUGAGGCGUGGCUUCCGGAGCUAAACGCGUUAAGUCGACCGCCUGGGGAGUACGGCCGCAAGGUUAAAACUCAAAUGAAUUGACGGGGGCCCGCACAAGCGGUGGAGCAUGUGGUUUAAUUCGAUGCAACGCGAAGAACCUUACCUACUCUUGACAUCCAGAGAACUUAGCAGAGAUGCUUUGGUGCCUUCGGGAACUCUGAGACAGGUGCUGCAUGGCUGUCGUCAGCUCGUGUUGUGAAAUGUUGGGUUAAGUCCCGCAACGAGCGCAACCCUUAUCCUUUGUUGCCAGCGGUUAGGCCGGGAACUCAAAGGAGACUGCCAGUGAUAAACCUGGAGGAAGGUGGGGUAUGACGUCAAGUCAUCAUGGCCCGUUACGAGUAGGGCUACACACGUGCUACAAUGGCGCAUACAAGAGAAGCGACCUCGCGAGAGCAAGCGGACCUCAUAAACGUGCGUCGUAGUCCGG
rnacentral:rRNA from 1 species